ACGCGAAGAACCUUACCUAGCCUUGACAUAUUUAAGAACUCCGUAGAGAUACAGAGGUGCCUUCGGGAGCUUUCUUACAGGUGCUGCACGGCUGUCGUCAGCUCGUGUCGUGAGAUGUUGGGUUAAGUCCCGCAACGAGCGCAACCCUCGUCACUAGUUACUAACGGUUCGGCCGAGGACUCUAGUGAGACUGCCUUCGCAAGGAGGAGGAAGGUGAGGACGACGUCAAGUCAUCAUGGCCCUUACGGCUAGGGCAACACACGUGCUACAAUGGCCAGGACAGUGAGACGCGAUACCGCGAGGUGGAGCAAAUCUAUAAACCUGGUCUCAGUUCGGAUUGUAGUCUGCAACUCGACUACAUGAAGCUGGAAUCACUAGUAAUCGUAGAUCAGCUAUGCUACGGUGAAUACGUUCCCGGGUCUUGUACUCACCGCCCGUCACACCAUGGGAGUUGAUUUCACCCGAAGCGGGGAAGCUAAGCUGGCUACCCUCCACGGUGGAAUUAGCGACUGGGGUGAAGUCGUAACAAGGUAACCUUAAUUAAAA
rnacentral:rRNA from 1 species